GUGAACGCUGGCGGUAGGCCUAACACAUGCAAGUCGAACGGCAGCACAGUAAGAGCUUGCUCUUACGGGUGGCGAGUGGCGGACGGGUGAGGAAUACAUCGGAAUCUACUUUUUCGUGGGGGAUAACGUAGGGAAACUUACGCUAAUACCGCAUACGACCUACGGGUGAAAGCAGGGGAUCUUCGGACCUUGCGCGAUUGAAUGAGCCGAUGUCGGAUUAGCUAGUUGGCGGGGUAAAGGCCCACCAAGGCGACGAUCCGUAGCUGGUCUGAGAGGAUGAUCAGCCACACUGGAACUGAGACACGGUCCAGACUCCUACGGGAGGCAGCAGUGGGGAAUAUUGGACAAUGGGCGCAAGCCUGAUCCAGCCAUACCGCGUGGGUGAAGAAGGCCUUCGGGUUGUAAAGCCCUUUUGUAGGGAAAGAAAAGCAGCAGGUUAAUACCCCGCUGUUCUGACGGUACCCAAAGAAUAAGCACCGGCUAACUUCGUG
rnacentral:rRNA from 1 species